rnacentral:lncRNA from 1 species
UAUAUAAAUAUACGAGUUUGUGUGACGUGCAAUAAUAUGAGAUAGUAAACGUUUUUAUUUACAUAUAUUAAUAUUUAUACACAUUUACAAUAUAUAGUUUGGAAAAUCCAGAAUUGAAAUGUAUUUAAAUGAUUUUGGAGUUCAGUCAAUCGCAAUAUUGACAUGAGAACCCAAAUUCCAUAUAACAUGGUUCAUAACCAACAUUAUUUUGACUGAUUUUCAAAAUUAUAUACAAACAAAAUAGCAUGUGAAAUUUAUAUCCCCCUAUCUCUUUAGAAAAAUCGAAGGCAACCAGACACAAAUUUUCAAUAAUAUGUACAAAUACAUAUUUCAGUGUCAGAACGUUCUUCUCUUUGAUUCUUGAUAUCAAAAUUGUAUCCUAGUCAUUGUAAAAAAAACAACAACUAGACAUUAAACUUUUGUAAUGUUUAACAAUUUUCUUCACUUCUAUCAUAGAUGAUUUAUAUGCAUGUUUCACUUCGAUUAGUUUGAUUAUUUAUUCAAAUUAUAAUAUUUGCGGCCCGGUAAUAUUUUUUAUUAUAUAGCAGGCAUGGCAUGUCAAUUUUUAUUUACAUUGAUGCCUGUAUCAAUAUAUGUAUGCAUAUGUAUGUAUAUUGUACAUUGCAUCGCUGGCGAAAUUUUCGUUUGUACAAUUGGUAAGAAAGAUGUGCCCAAAUAGCAUGGUGAGAAGUAAACACGUCAAUUCAUAUAUUUGCAUACUCAGGAAAAACUAUUAAAAGUGCAUCACAAGCAUUAAAUAAUUUUUGAAAAAUAAAAUCAAACUUUUAAUCGAUUAAACAUUGUCUGAGUAUUCGAAUAUUUUAUUAUUGUAAACUGUACUAGCAAAGAUAAGGAAAAUACAAACACUUCGUCGCUUUUGCUGAUUAUGCGCUCGUAUAUAACAAGAGAAAGCGACGAACCGAGCCAUACAAACGCAACAAACACGUUUGUUAAAGUGAAACAACUUCAGUGAGCGAUACUAGUUUUGACAUCAUCAUCGAAUGAGUGUAAAAGAGAAAUAAAAUGACACAAUCCUUGAAAAUGAGAUUGCUUGUGUGCAAGUAGUUUGAGUACCUUGUUUUUGUUAUUGUUUUGAAUGGGUCAGCAGCAGUGACGACGACGACAACGGUGGCUGUCUGACUGGCUGACUACCGACGGUAGUCAAAGUGGAAUAUUUGAAUGCGAUUUCAAGACUUGCUUGGAGAAGAAAGGAAAUUGGUGGCGAAUGGGGUGGUGAAGCUGCAUACAAAUAUGAGGUAUGCGCCCGCGAAUACCGCGUCAUUGUACUAUACUGGGUGAAGCAUACUAGAUAUAUACACUGCACAUCCAAACAAGAGCUCCUCAUAUCGCAGUACCUACAUGAACUGAAAAUGGCCACUAGUCGUAUCUCUUGAGGCGGGAUAGAGUGGGCAUGCAUAGGGUUUCCCUCCAUUUUUGCGGGUAUCUUAUCUUCGAUAUAUAUUCACAAAAAUUUUACGAGUAAAUGUUUUGCUACAUCUUACCGCCGCCGCAAACAUUUUCGAUUAAAUACCACGGCAAAUACAAAGUGUUCGAAAGACUGCCUGCGAAGCAAGACGAGGCUCGUCGUUUUUGACGAACGGGCUUUCAAGUGUUGCCACACAAAAAUAUUUCUAACGUAAAUUAUUAUAUAUAAUUUGUUAACAUUUACGGCUUUAAUCUUGUCAUAAGUAAUUUUCAAUAAAAUUAAAAAAAUUAUUAUUUCUAUUUAAAAAUAUCUAAUAUCUUAUAUAAGUAACCUAUGUAUAAAAAAAUUAUUUUUUUUUGUUUUCUGCUCUAUUUUUUCAACCCGUUAUAUAUUCUUUACUGUCGUCUCGAAAAAAUCAGCAUUAGCAAAUUACUGUCAAAAACGCUUAGAUAUUAUAUGGCGCAUACCUACAUAAAAACGGCGUCAACGCUAAGGAUUCAAAAAUUAAUUAAUUUGUGCAAUUUUUCUUAAAAAUUUCUUGAUACGAAAUGUUUAAUGCUUGUAUAAAUGAAUGAGAAAUUAAUUAUUUUUGCAUUUUAAAUCUUUUGUACUAAUUUUAGAAAUUAGGUCAGAAUUUGACGUAAAGUUGCUGCUCUAUUUAGGGAUGCUGGGCGUUUUUAUUUGGUUAUGCCAGUUGCGUCACCUUGUAGCGAUAGCAUAAAAAUUAAUAUCCAUCACAAAAUUUUGCAUUCGUCAAUAAACUUUAUUUUCUUUAAUUAUAUAAACUGAGUUAUAUUUAAACGGAACCAGGUGUAUUCGCAAUUAUAUGACAAUUUAACCUAAAAAAAAUUAUUUAGCGCAUCAACAAUAACAAUAAACUUAACGUAUUUAAAAAGUGUUUUAAUACAUAAUAACAUGCCAAAGGAUAGUUGAAGGCAUGAAACAAUAUUGAAAAAAUAAAAUAUCAUAGUUUAUAUAAGUAGACAUACCAAAAAAUUUAUGGGAAAUUUUCUGGUUGUGUAUAACAAUAUUUCAAACAAAUUAAAAUCUGGGAACACUGAUUAUGAUUCCCUGAACAUAGCAUAUUUGUGCACAAAUUUUGUAACAUCCAAUUGUGUUAACGAAAUGCUGGCAUAGAUAACGUGCUGGAGGGAAUACAUCAUUCAGUAUAUGUAGUCACAUGUGGAAGAGACUUAAGAGGAGAUUGUGCAUAACUCGUGGCACGUCAUCGUUUGCGCCGUUUUAAGUCAACAGACUCCACAUUCACAAAACCUUAUAACUUCACAGUCGAAUAUUUGGUAUCGGAAGUCAUGAGCCAUCACCAAACCAGUAACCACCAUUGGUUUUAUGUUCUCUUCCCUUUUAUUUUACUCAUAUUCAACAUAUGUACAUAUAAAUGAUUUGGUGGAGUCACAAACCUAGUAAAGCUUUGAAUGCAAGAAUUGUGACUAGUAUAGUUACAAAUAGAUUUGGUGUUGCUGGUUGAAUAGGAUGAACACGAAACGACGCAUGAAAUCAAUCGGAAUAAGCAUUGCCUCCUCAAAGGUUUUUAUUGCCCUGGCGGAUGUGCCGACUUUUUAACGCUCGUUCUAAUAGUCUUCAACAAUUUUCUAAAAGUUGCCGCUGUACUAAUAAACCGCCCGCCAGCGAUCUCUCCGCAAUCAUGAACUCAACAAUUUUACUAAAUUCUCAUAUGCACGUGAACAUAUUGGUGUGAGUUUUACCGAGAGUAUCUGUGUGUAUUUCUGGAUUUUGUUUGCUAGUCACUCAACUUAUACUUUUCGUGCUCAUCUGUUAGGUGAGCGCACUAACGUAUCACUUACGUAAGGUGAAAGAUGGCGAUACAAUGUGCCAUAUGCCUGAAAGAGUUAACACGAUUUUACGAGCGAAAACAAGUAAAUGUGAAAUAUAAAUACCACUAAAAAUGUAUCUUUUAAAUAAAAAAAAUGCGGUCGUUGCAAAUUUAGUGCUUCUAUCAACUGAAAAAGAGUACUGGAGAAGCAACACAGUUCUAAAGACAGCUGAAGUCAUAUGAAUCGUUUAUUCGCAACUUUUGAAAUGUAGAACAAUUUAUUUUAUCCGCACUCAAGCUCACAGUCGUCAAAUACAAAUGAAAAUACAUUUACAUCUGGGGAGCAAAAAAAAAACUACAUAUUUCAAAAGAACGUGAAAUACUUAAAAUUACUGUUCACAUGGUCAGAAAAUAUAUACACAACAUGCUUUAAAAAUUCGUAGUUUUAAAAUGGUUUAAAAGUUGUAAUUUGUGACUCUCCAUCGCAAACAUCUUCUAGGCAGAUUAAUUGAAAUUAAUCAUUCGAAGAUUUACUUUAUACUACAGUUUUGCUGCCUGGAAUUACACCAUACUAAAAAUACACUUAUUUGGUUAAAAACGUUGAGUACACCUAAUUAGGGCGAAUCUAUGGCGAUCACACCAUAAAUAAAUCACAUAAAAUAUAAGUAGAUAUAAUGUUUUAUAUGAUAAGUUAUAUAUAUAAGGCUUCUAUUCAAGAUUUUGAGAAUUAAAAAAAAAUAUAUAUAUAUAAGAGAUUUAUAACAAUAAACGUUUGAAAUUUAGAAUUUUCAUAUGUAGAUCUGUAUCUAAAUUUCAAAUAGACGUAGCAACGUAGUAACAAAUAAUUAACUUCAAUUCAUAUAUUUUGACAGAAGUGUUUUAAAAAAUCGGUUGUAUUAAAUUUUAGAUAGGGUUUACCAAACAAUUGCACUUCAUAUGAAUUCUUACCGAGUAUUGUAAAUAUCUUAACCAAACUAUAUAUGAAAUUCACAAAUUUCUAGAAACGCUAAGGAUAAAAAUAUAUUUUUGAUGCUGUUGAUAAUGUUCUCGAAGGCUGUGGCUUCUUAAUGAUCUCAGCUGUAGAAUCAAAAAAUAAGCUUUAAGGCACCAUAUGGUCAAAAGAAAAUCACUGUAACAAUAAUAUUGUUAAACACUCACGAAUAUAUUAUCAUUUAAUUCGUAUAUAACUUAUUGCACUUUUUAACGUAUGUAUUUUGGCGUCUUUGCUUAGGGUAAAAUGAAAAAAUACCGGUGAUAAUGUAAUUCCACAUGUUUGCCCCGACUUCGUAGCCAACAACAAAUGUGCAAAAACAAAGCAACAAGCAAGGAGGCCAUGACGAAUUUUUGGUUAGAAUUUAUUUAGUUGUAUUUGUAAAAGCAAAACAAAAAUAUUAACUUAACCUUAAAACCUGUUAAACUUGUUAAUUGGUAGGAUAUUCUACCUACGAGUUGAAUCUUGAAGCGCCAAUACCUGAAUUCAACAAUGAACUAAAUAUGCACCAUUUCACAUAAGUUUAUGCCCAUAUAUUUGAUUAACAAUAAUUAUUGACUUUAGUAAGUCCUUUGAAAUAUAUGCAUGUGCAUAGAAAUAUUUCAGGAGGCAUCUACUUUGAAAAACUUGAGUGUAAAGUCCGAAAUGCAAUAUAAAACUUCCAUUCAGCUUUUACUCCACAACAAUACCAACUUUUAAUAUUGAAUUUUACAAAUAUUUA